CCUACGGGAGGCAGCAGUGGGGAAUCUUAGACAAUGGGGGCAACCCUGAUCUAGCCAUGCCGCGUGAGUGAUGAAGGCCCUAGGGUUGUAAAGCUCUUUCAGCUGGGAAGAUAAUGACGGUACCAGCAGAAGAAGCCCCGGCUAACUCCGUGCCAGCAGCCGCGGUAAUACGGAGGGGGCUAGCGUUGUUCGGAAUUACUGGGCGUAAAGCGCACGUAGGCGGAUUGGAAAGUUGGGGGUGAAAUCCCGGGGCUCAACCCCGGAACUGCCUCCAAAACUAUCAGUCUUGAGUUCGAGAGAGGUGAGUGGAAUUCCGAGUGUAGAGGUGAAAUUCGUAGAUAUUCGGAGGAACACCAGUGGCGAAGGCGGCUCACUGGCUCGAUACUGACGCUGAGGUGCGAAAGCGUGGGGAGCAAACAGGAUUAGAUACC
rnacentral:rRNA from 1 species